AUUGAACGCUGGCGGCAGGCCUAACACAUGCAAGUCGAACGAGUGGCGGACGGGUGAGUAAUGUCUGGGAAACUGCCUGAUGGAGGGGGAUACCUUCUGGCAACGGUAGCUAAUACCGCAUACCAUCGGAUGUGCCCAGAUGGGCUUAGCUAGUAGGUGGGGUAAAGGCUCACCUGGGCGACGAUCCCUAGCUGGUCUGAGAGGAUGACGAGCCACACUGGAACGGAGACACGGUCCAGAGGCCUACGGGGGGCAGCAGUGGGGAAUAUUGCACAAUGGGCGCAAGCCUGAUGCAGCCAUGCCGGUUGGAUGAAGAAGGCCUUCGGUUUUUAAGGUACUUUCAGCGGGGAGGCGUUACCCGCAGAGGAAGCACCGGCUAACUCCGUGCCAGCAGCCGCGGUAAUUC
rnacentral:rRNA from 1 species